rnacentral:rRNA from 1 species
CUACGGGAUGCUGCCGUCAAGAAUAUUCCGCAAUAGGCGAAAGCCUGACGGAGCGACGCCGCGUGCCAGAGGAAGCCCUUCGGGGUGUAAAUGGCUUUUAGCAGGGAAGAAUUCGUGACGGUACCUGCAGAAUAAGGGGCUGCUAAACUCGUGCCAGCAGCAGCGGUAAUACGAGUGCCCCAAGCGUUAUCCGAAUUUACUGGGCGUAAAGCGUGCGCAGGCGGUUUAAUAAGUCUUUGGUUAAAUCGUGGGGCUCAACUCCAUGACUGUCAAAGAUACUGUUAGACUUUGAGACUGGAAGAGGCAAGCGGAAUUGCUGGUGGAGGGGUUAAAUCCGUUGAUAUCAGCAAGAACAUCAAAGGCGAAGGCAGCUUGCUAGGACAGUUCUGACGCUGUUUGCACGAAAGCGUGGGUAGCGAAUGGGAUUAGAUACCCCAGUAGUC